AGCUCCAGUAGCGUAUAUUAAAGUUGUUGCAGUUAAAAAGCUCGUAGUUGGAUUUCUGACGAACCGGAGUGGCCCGUUCUCUUUGCGGGAAUGAGUGCCGCUUUGAGUUUGUCAUCCUUCCAGAGAGCUGCGUCUACCGUUUACUCGGCCGGAUGUAUGCGAUCUGGAUCUAUUACUUUGAAAAAAUUAGAGUGUUUAAAGCAGGCUUAUGCUAUGAAUACAUUAGCAUGGAAUAAUAAUUUAGGACUUUGGUUCUAUUUUGUUGGUUUCUAGGACUGAAGUAAUGAUUGAUAGGGAUAGUUGGGGGUGCUAGUAUUCCGCGGCCAGAGGUGAAAUUCUUGGAUUCGUGGAAGACUAACUACUGCGAAAGCAUUCACCAAGGAUGUCUUCUUUA
rnacentral:rRNA from 1 species